rnacentral:rRNA from 1 species
GACGAACGCUGGCGGCGUGCCUAAUACAUGCAAGUCGAACGAAGCUUUUUUAACUGGUGCUUGCACCGACUUAAACAACUGAGUGGCGAACGGGUGAGUAACACGUGGGUAACCUGCCCCAAAGCGGGGGAUAACAUUUGGAAACAGAUGCUAAUACCGCAUAACCACAGAAACCACAUGGUUUCUGUGUCAAAGAUGGUUUCGGCUAUCACUUUGGGAUGGACCCGCGGCGUAUUAGCUAGUUGGUAAGGUAAUGGCUUACCAAGGCAAUGAGACGUAGCCGAACUGAGAGGUUGAUCGGCAACAUUGGGAAUGAGACACGGCCCAAACUCCUACAGGAGGCAGCAGUAGGGAAUCUUCCACAAUGGACGAAAGUCUGAUGGAGCAACGCCGCGUGAGUGAAGAAGGUUUUCGGAUCGUAAAACUCUGUUGUCAGAGAAGAACGUGUGCGAGAGUAACUGUUCGUGCAGUGACGGUAUCUGGCCAGAAAGCCACGGCUAACUACGUGCCAGCCGCCGCGGUAA